UUUAAGUUUACUUAAACUGUCAGCUAAGUGGCGCACGGGUGAGUAAUAUAUAGUUAAUCCGCCCCAAAGAAGAGGAUAAUUGUUGGAAACGACUUGUAACACUCUAUAUGCCUUUAUUACAUAAGUAAGCAAGGGAAACAUUUAUGGCUUUGGGAUGAGACUGUAUAGUAUCAGCUAGUUGGUAAGGUAAUGGCUUACCAAGGCUAUGACGCUUAACUGGUUUGAGAGGAUGAUCAGUCACACUGGAACUGAGACACGGUCCAGACUCCUACGGGAGGCAGCAGUGGGGAAUAUUGCACAAUGGAGGAAACUCUGAUGCAGCAACGCCGCGUGGAGGAUGACACUUUUCGGAGCGUAAACUCCUUUUAUAUGAGAAGAUAAUGACGGUAUCAUAUGAAUAAGCACCGGCUAACUUCGUGCCAGCAGCCGCGGUAAUACGAGGGGUGCAAGCGUUACUCGGAAUCACUGGGCGUAAAGAGCAUGUAGGCGGGUAGAAAAGUCAGAAGU
rnacentral:rRNA from 1 species